rnacentral:misc_RNA from 1 species
GAACUGCGAUAAGUAAUGUGAAUUGCAGAAUUCAGUGAAUCAUCGAGUCUUUGAACGCACAUUGCGCCCCCUGGCAUUCCGGGGGGCAUGCCUGUCCGAGCGUCAUUGCUGCCCUUCAAGCCCGGCUUGUGUGUUGGGUCGUCGUCCCCCCCGGGGGACGGGCCCGAAAGGCAGCGGCGGCACCGUGUCCGGUCCUCGAGCGUAUGGGGCUUUGUCACCCGCUCGAUUAGGGCCGGCCGGGCGCCAGCCGGCGUCUCCAACCUUAUUUUUCUCAGGUUGACCUCGGAUCAGGUAGGGAUACCCGCUGAACUUAAG